CCUACGGGUGGCUGCAGUGGGGGAUAUUGCACAAUGGGGGAAACCCUGAUGCAGCGACGCCGCGUGGGUGAAGAAGCGCCUCGGCGCGUAAAGCCCUGUCAGCAGGGAAGAAAAUGACGGUACCUGAAGAAGAAGCCCCGGCUAACUACGUGCCAGCAGCCGCUGUAAUACGUAGGGGGCAAGCGUUAUCCGGAUUUACUGGGUGUAAAGGGGGCGCAGACGGUGAUGCAGGCCAGGAGGGAAAGCCCGGGGCCCAACCCCGGGACUGCUCUUGGAACUGCGUGGCUAGAGUGCAGGAGGGGCAGGCGGAAUGCCUGGUGUAGCGGUGAAAUGCGUAGAUAUCAGGAGGAACACCGGUGGCGAAGGCGGCCUGCUGGACUGCAACUGACGUUGAGGCCCGAAAGCGUGGGGAGCAAACAGGAUUAGAUACCCUAGUAGUC
rnacentral:rRNA from 1 species